ACAUAGCUAAAAACUCCUCAGCCCUCAGCUGGUGUGUUUAUACCCCUUCAGAUACCAAAGGAGAGUGUACCUCCUGCACAACCUCUGGCUUCCUCCAACAGAGCCUUCCUCAUCCAAAUUCAUCCUCCAGCAUACCAAACUACUGACAGGCCAGUGUGAUAGUCAGCCUUGCUUGAAAAGACACAGGUAAUAAGCUGAGGAAAGUGUUAUUUCCCCGUGAGAGUCGUUUCUUGGACAACUCCUUUCAUCUGGAAACCAGGAAUACUGCUUGUUCACUUCUGGGAAAUCUUACGAAAACACAGAAGCAUUGUCAAACUCAAAAGCGGAAGUCAAGGAUUUGAAAUGUGAUGGUACAUCCUACUUUCUUGUUUCCAGUAGAAGCAGCA